AUUGAACGCUGGCGGCAGGCUUAACACAUGCAAGUCGAGCGGAGCGAGGGUGCUUGCACCUUAGCUUAGCGGCGGACGGGUGAGUAAUGCUUAGGAAUCUGCAUAGAGUGGGGGACAACAUUCCGAAAGGAAUGCAAAUACCGCAUACGUCAUACGGGAGAAAGCAGGGGAUCUUCGGACCUUGCGAUAAUAGAUGAGCCUAAGUGGGAUUAGCUAGUUGGUGGGGUAAAGGCCUACCAAGGCGACGAUCUGUAGCGGGUCUGAGAGGAUGAUCCGCCACACUGGGACUGAGACACGGCCCAGACUCCUACGGGAGGCAGCAGUGGGGAAUAUUGGACAAUGGGGGGAACCCUGAUCCAGCCAUGCCGCGUGUGUGAAGAAGGCCUUAUGGUUGUAAAGCACUUUAAGCGAGGAGGAGGCUACUGAGACUAAUACUCUUGGAUAGUGGACGUUACUCGCAGAAUAAGCACCGGCUAACUCUGUGCCAGCCGCCGCCGUAAGAC
rnacentral:rRNA from 1 species